UACGUAGGGCGCAAGCGUUGUCCGGAAUUAUUGGGCGUAAAGAGCUCGUAGGUGGCGUGUCGCGUCUGCCGUGAAAGCCCAUGGCUUAACUGUGGGUCUGCGGUGGAUACGGGCAGGCUGGAGGCUGGUAGGGGAGAUCGGAAUUCCUGGUGUAGCGGUGAAAUGCGCAGAUAUCAGGAGGAACACCGGUGGCGAAGGCGGAUCUCUGGGCCUUGCCUGACGCUGAGGCGCGAAAGCUAGGGGAGCGAACAGG
rnacentral:rRNA from 1 species